CAGGGAUUGCCUCAGUAACGGCGAGUGAAGCGGCAACAGCUCAAAUUUUAAAGCUGGCGUCCUCGACGCCCGCGUUGUAAUUUGGAGAGGCAUCUUCGGUUUGGGCGCCAGCCUAUGUUCCUUGGAACAGGACGUCACAGAGGGUGAGAAUCCCGUGCUUGGCUGGCUGUCCCUCUCCAUGUGAAGUGUCUUCGACGAGUCGAGUUGUUUGGGAAUGCAGCUCAAAAUGGGUGGUAAAUUUCAUCUAAAGCUAAAUAUUGGCGGGAGACCGAUAGCGCACAAGUAGAGUGAUCGAAAGAUGAAAAGCACUUUGAAAAUAGAGUUAAAAAGUACGUGAAAUUGUUGAAAGGGAAGCGCUUGAGACCAGACUCGGCCGGAGACGAUCAGCGGUCCUUCUGGGCCGUGCACUCGUCCUCGGUUGGGCCAGCAUCGGUUGAGACGGUGGGAUAAAGGUCCGGGGAAUGUGGCUCCUUUCGGGGAGUGUUAUAGCCCCGGGCGCAAUGCCACCAGUCUCGACCGAGGACCGCGCUCUUUUGCUAGGAUGCUGGCGUAAUGGUCUUCAGCGACCCGUCUUGAAACACGGACCAAGGAGUCUAACAUCUAUGCGAGUGUUUGGGUGUCAAACCCUUGCGCGUAAUGAAAGUGAACGUGGGUGGGAACCUCUCGUAAGGGGGGCGCACCAUCGACCGAUCCUGAUGUCUUCGGAUGGAUUUGAGUAGGAGCAUAGCUGUUGGGACCCGAAAGAUGGUGAACUAUGCCUGAAUAGGGUGAAGCCAGAGGAAACUCUGGUGGAGGCUCGCAGCGGUUCUGACGUGCAAAUCGAUCGUCAAAUUUGGGUAUAGGGGCGAAAGACUAAUCGAACC
rnacentral:rRNA from 1 species